GGGGAGCGAAUUGCUUCUGAGGUUUGCUGACAUUCUGUUUGGCUGCCUGAAAUGCUUUCUCUUCAUUCAAAGAGCAGCUGCUGGUCUCCGCCUCUCUGUCUUUCCUUCCUCCUCCCAGUGGCUUCCCUGUUCCUGCUAUCCUGGCUUUCCUGGCUUUUUUGAUCCUCAUCCUGGCUCUGGGGGGAAGGAGGAUGGGUCUGGAGCACCUGUGGGACCCAAGCCUGGGCCCACCACAACAGAAGAUGCAGCUUCCCAGCCCCAAGAGCCCAAGAUUGGAGGCCCUGAGCAGAAGCUGGGCCUUAGUGCCAUCUUCUUGGAAACCCCUGCGCCGUGACAGUGGAGUGGAGAAAGAAGUGAAUACGCAUACUGAAGCACAAAGGAAGAAAGAUGAGGCAGAGGUCCAAGCAAACCGCUAGCUUGUUGCACCUGUGGAGGCCCCAGGAGCAGAAACAUGAGUGCCAGAGGCUGGGGAUGCUGGUACAAGUUGUUGGACUGCAUGCUACUGUCUAGAGCUUGUCUCAAUGCAUCUAGAACUUCAUUGCCAUCUGACCGCCGAGACCACCUCUGAGACCCACCUUUCUCAUGACCGUAA
rnacentral:lncRNA from 1 species